rnacentral:rRNA from 1 species
UACGUAGGGACCAAGCGUUGUUCGGAUUUACUGGGCGUAAAGGGCGCGUAGGAGGCAAUUCAAGUCAUCUGUGAAAUCUCCGGGCUUAACCCGGAACGGUCAGAUGAUACUGCUUUGCUAGAGUGCGGAAGGGGCAAUCGGAAUUCUCGGUGUAGCGGUGAAAUGCGUAGAUAUCGAGAGGAACACCUGAGGUGAAGACGGGUUGCUGGGCCGACACUGACGCUGAGUGCGCGAAAGCCAGGGGAGCAAACGGG